rnacentral:rRNA from 1 species
AGAUUGAACGCUGGCGGCAGGCCUAACACAUGCAAGUCGAGCGGCAGCACGGGUACUUGUACCUGGUGGCGAGCGGCGGACGGGUGAGUAAUGCCUAGGAAUCUGCCUGGUAGUGGGGGGAUAACGCUCGGAAACGGACGCUAAUACCGCAUACGUCCUACGGGAGAAAGCAGGGGACCUUCGGGCCUUGCGCUAUCAGAUGAGCCUAGGUCGGAUUAGCUAGUUGGUGAGGUAAUGGCUCACCAAGGCGACGAUCCGUAACUGGUCUGAGAGGAUGAUCAGUCACACUGGAACUGAGACACGGUCCAGACUCCUACGGGAGGCAGCAGUGGGGAAUAUUGGACAAUGGGCAAAGCCUGAUCCAGCCAUGCCGCGUGUGUGAAGAAGGUCUUCGGAUUGUAAAGCACUUUAAGUUGGAGAAGGCAGUUACCUAAUACGUAUCUGUUUUGACGUUACCGACAGAAUAAAGCAACCGGCUAAACUCUAGUG